UACAGAGGUCCCGAGCGUUGUUCGGAUUCAUUGGGCGUAAAGGGUGCGUAGGCGGUCCGCUAAGUUGGAUGUGAAAACUCUGGGCUUAACCCAGAGCCUGCAUUCAAAACUGACGGGCUAGAGUUCUGGAGGGGGUAGCGGAAUUCCUGGUGUAGCGGUGAAAUGCGUAGAUAUCAGGAGGAACACCGGUGGCGAAGGCGGCUACCUGGACAGAAACUGACGCUGAGGCACGAAAGCUAGGGGAGCAAACAGG
rnacentral:rRNA from 1 species